UACGUAGGGUGCGAGCGUUAAUCGGAAUUACUGGGCGUAAAGCGUGCGCAGGCGGUUUUGUAAGACAGAUGUGAAGUCCCCGGGCUUAACCUGGGAACUGCAUUUGUGACUGCAAGCUAGAGUGUGGCAGAGGGGGGUGGAAUUCCACGUGUAGCAGUGAAAUGCGUAGAUAUGUGGAGGAACACCGAUGGCGAAGGCAGCCCCCUGGGUUAACACUGACGCUCAUGCACGAAAGCGUGGGGAGCAAACAGG
rnacentral:rRNA from 1 species